CAGCCGCCACGGUAAAACGUAGGUCCCGAGCGUUGUCCGGAUUUAUUGGGCGUAAAGCGAGCGCAGGCGGUUUGAUAAGUCUGAAGUUAAAGGCUGUGGCUCAACCAUAGUCCGCUUUGGAAACUGUCAAACUUGAGUGCAGAAGGGGAGAGUGGAAUUCCAUGUGUAGCGGUGAAAUGCGUAGAUAUAUGGAGGAACACCGGUGGCGAAAGCGGCUCUCUAGUCUGUAACUGACGCUGAGGCUCGAAAGCGUGGGGAGCGAACAGGAUUAGAUACCCGAGUAGUCCCUGUCUCUUAUACA
rnacentral:rRNA from 1 species